rnacentral:rRNA from 1 species
AUUGAACGCUGGCGGCAUGCUUUACACAUGCAAGUCGAACGGUAGGGUAGCAAUACCUGAGAGUGGCGAACGGGUGAGUAAUGCAUCGGAACAUGCCUAUUUGUGGGGGAUAGCCCGGCGAAAGCCGGAUUAAUACCGCAUACGAUCUACGGAUGAAAGCUGGGGACCGCAAGGCCUAGCGCAAAUAGAGUGGCCGAUGUCAGAUUAGCUAGUUGGUGGGGUAAAGGCUCACCAAGGCAACGAUCUGUAGCUGGUUUGAGAGAACGACCAGUCACACUGGGACUGAGACACGGCCCAGACUCCUACGGGAGGCAGCAGUGGGGAAUUUUGGACAAUGGGCGCAAGCCUGAUCCAGCAAUGCCGCGUGCAGGAUGAAGGCCUUCGGGUUGUAAACUGCUUUUGUACGGAGCGAAAAGGCUUCUUCUAAUACAGGAGGCUCAUGACGGUACCGUAAGAAUAAGCACCGGCUAACUACGUGCCAGCCGCCGCAGUAA